AUACUUUAGGAAACGGCAGCGGCGGCGCUUCGCGAUUGUCAUCUGCGGGAAGGGGUGGAUGGGAAGGCCGGAAGGGGCGAAGUGUCUUUGUGACUGCAUACCGAUGCGAGGGCGCCCUUCCCUCCUUCCUUCUUUCGUGUGCUCAUUGCUGAAGCAUGGGAUGCAGGAGGUCUCUAUCAAGUUGGUCAGUUUCCUCACUGGAAUGUUUGGUCAGAGUGGAAUGGAAAGGAGACUUCAGCUUCGGGAUGAAGGUUUUCCCUCAUGGCAAAGGCAUGCGCGAUAUGAAGAUACAACCUGAAGGUGAUAUGGAUGGACGCUGAAGCUAUGGCUGGAGGAGCUUCGGCUUAGUAUGAUGAUGAAGAUCAAGGACGAAACCGACCUAAAGGGGAAACACUUACUUAGUCCUUGAUUAAUCACAUUAUGAUUAAGAGUAAAUAUCAGGGACAUGAAUGUAAUUUUGUCCAGGUUGUGUCCCGUGCCUAUAAAUAGGGGAACAGUAACACCUUACUGUUCACGCGACAUUGCAUUCACUCUCGCGCCUUUCUCACAUCGUUAUCUUCUGCCAAGCCGAAGGUAUCAUUGUAAUAUGAAUAUUGUUAAUGUUUAUUCAUGUUUGACGAAGAUAAUAACAAAUGAAUCAUUGAUAU